GACGAACGCUGGCGGUGUGCUUAACACAUGCAAGUCGAACGAAGUGGCGAACGGGUGAGUAACGCGUAAUCAACCUGCCCUUCAGAGGGGGACAACAGUUGGAAACGACUGCUAAUACCGCAUACUGAAGGAGGGGAUUGCGUCUGAUUAGCUAGUGGGAGGGGUAACGGCCCACCAAGGCGAUGAUCAGUAGCCGGUAUGGGAGGAUGAACGGCCACAUUUGGACUGAGACACGGCCCAGACUCCUACGGGAGGCAGCAGGGGGGAAUCUACCGCAAUGGACGAAAGUCUGACGGAGAAACGCCGCGUGAGUGAUGACGGCUUUCGGGUUGUAAAGCUCUGUUAAUCGGGACGAGGUACCGGAAUAGAAAGCCACGGCUAACUACGUGCCAGCAGCCGCGGUAAUUC
rnacentral:rRNA from 1 species